rnacentral:rRNA from 1 species
AACGAACGCUGGCGGCAGGCUUAACACAUGCAAGUCGAACGCCCCGCAAGGGGAGUGGCAGACGGGUGAGUAACGUGUGGGAAUCUACCCAGUUCUACGGAACAACUGAGGGAAACUUCAGCUAAUACCGUAUACGCCCUACGGGGGAAAGAUUUAUCGGAAUUGGAUGAGCCCGCGUUGGAUUAGCUAGUUGGUGAGGUAACGGCUCACCAAGGCGACGAUCCAUAGCUGGUCUGAGAGGAUGAUCAGCCACACUGGGACUGAGACACGGCCCAGACUCCUACGGGGGGCAGCAGUGGGGAAUAUUGGACAAUGGGCGCAAGCCUGAUCCAGCCAUGCCGCGUGAGUGAUGAAGGCCUUAGGGUUGUAAAGCUCUUUCAGUGGGGACGAUAAUGACGGUACCCACAGAAGAAGCCCCGGCUAACUUCGUGCCAGCCGCCGCGGUAACAC